AACGAACGCUGGCGGCAGGCUUAACACAUGCAAGUCGAACGGACGUAGCAAUACGUUAGUGGCGCACGGGAGAGUAACACGUGGGAACCUACCUUUUAGUUCGGAAUAACGUCGGGAAACUGACGCUAAUACCGGAUACGCCCCAAGGGGGAAAGAUUUAUCGCUAAAAAGAUGGGCCCGCGCUAGAUUAGCUAGUUGGUAAGGUAAUGGCUUACCAAGGCUACGAUCUAUAGCUGGUCUGAGAGGAUGACCAGCCUCACUGGGACUGAGACACGGCCCAGACUCCUACGGGAGGCAGCAGUGGGGAAUAUUGGACAAUGGGGGCAACCCUGAUCCAGCCAUGCCGCGUGAAUGAUGAAGGCCUUCGGGUUGUAAAGUUCUUUUGGAGGGACGAUGAUGACGGUACCCUCAGAAUAAGCUCCGGCUAACUUCGUGCCAGCAACCGCGGUAAUCUGUAGUCGU
rnacentral:rRNA from 1 species